CCUACGGGAGGCAGCAGUGAGGAAUAUUGGUCAAUGGACGAGAGUCUGAACCAGCCAAGUAGCGUGAAGGAUGACUGCCCUAUGGGUUGUAAACUUCUUUUAUAAAGGAAUAAAACGAGGCACGUGUGCCUUUUUGCAUGUACUUUAUGAAUAAGGAUCGGCUAACUCCGUGCCAGCAGCCGCGGUAAUACGGAGGAUCCGAGCGUUAUCCGGAUUUGUUGGGUUUAAAGGGAGCGUAGAUGGGUUGUUAAGUCAGUUGUGAAAGUUUGCGGCUCAAACGUAAAAUUGCAAUUGAUACUGGCAGUCUUGAGUACAGGUGAGGUAGGCGGAAUUCGUGGUGUAGCGGUGAAAUGCUUAGAUAUCACGAAGAACCCCGAUUGCGAAGGCAGCUUACUAAACUGUGACUGACAUUGAUGCUCGAAAGUGUGGGUAUCAAACAGGAUUAGAUACCCGUGUAGUC
rnacentral:rRNA from 1 species